rnacentral:rRNA from 1 species
AGUGAACGCUGGCGGCGUGCCUAAUACAUGCAAGUCGAACGGCGUGGCGCACGGGUGAGUAAUGUAUAGCUAAUCUGCCCUACACUAGAGGACAACAGUUGGCAACGACUGCUAAUACUCUAUAGUGUAGGAUGAGGCUAUAUUGUAUCAGCUAGUUGGUGAGGUAGUGGCUCACCAAGGCUAUGACGCAUAACUGGUCUGAGGGGAUGAGCAGUAGCACUGGAAGGGAGACACGGUCCAGAAUUCUUCGGGAGGGAGCAGUAGGGAAUAUUACUCAAUGGGGGAAAACCUGAAGCAGCAACGCAGCGUGGAGGAUGACACUUUGCGGAGAGUAAAAUCCUGUUGAUAGGGAAGCGGUACCUAACGAAUAAGCACCGGCUAACUCCGUGCCAGCAGCCGCGGUAAUUC